AAAUCCAAUUGUAAGUUUUCAAUUUGAAUUAUAAAUUCAAAGAUUAUAACGAUCCCAUUCCCAUCCGAUGUGGGACGAUUCCCACCGUUAAGACCCUGACAUCCUCGUCAGUCCAAUCACACAUACAGCCCAAGAUCACCAAGCGAUGUGAGACUCGUAUCGCUAGCCCGUCAUCCAGACCCUGACUAAGCCGAGACUCGGCACAUAUGUCCAGCCGAUGUGAGACUCGUAUCGCUAGCCCGUCAUCCAGACCCUGACUAAGCCGAGACUCGGCACAUAUGUCCAGCUGGUGAACCGGCUCUGAUACCAAAUGUAACGACCCAGCCCACUAGCAAUAAUAACUUGUUGGGCCCGACCACCGGCCGAAAAUACUUAAGCCCAGUUAUUAUUACUAGUGUUUAAAUCUCUUAUAAAGACAAUGACAAUCUCAUUCCCAUCCGAUGUGGGACUAUUGGGGUGUUACAAAGAUUAGCUUAAAUUUU
rnacentral:lncRNA from 1 species